UAGGAGGAUCUAAGGCAACCACAAGUAGAAGCAAGCAUUUCCAUCCAUCUAAGGGCUUUCAACCAUCAAAUCUUCAUAUUCUUUGCUUUUCAUUUUCACCUAGAUCAUCCCUAGCCAAGAGCUAGAAGUCGCAACGCUAUUCAGGACGACCGCACGUGAGAUCUUAUUUUCAUCUAUUCACAGGACGCGAUACUGGAAUUAAAGGACCAUGUCGGGAUUCUCAGUCAAGAUAACAAGUACCAGAACUCCAUGCCAUCUUUUGGAGGGUUUAACUGUUAUAUUCCGCCUCUUUGCGGAAAUAUGAUGGUUUAAACCUUAGUAGUUUAUUUCAUGUUAAUGUAUGAAACAAUAACACUUUACUUUUAUGUUAAUGGUUUGUAACC